rnacentral:misc_RNA from 1 species
GAUGAAGAACGUAGCGAAAUGCGACAAGUAAUGUGAAUUGCAGAAUUCCGUGAAUCAUCGAAUCUUUGAACGCACAUUGCGCCCCCUGGCAUUCCGGGGGGCAUGCCUGUCCGAGCGUCAUUUCUGCCCUCAAGCACGGCUUGUGUGUUGGGUGUGGUCCCCCCGGGGACCUGCCCGAAAGGCAGCGGCGACGUCCGUCUGGUCCUCGAGCGUAUGGGGCUCUGUCACUCGCUCGGGAAGGACCUGCGGGGGUUGGUCACCACCAUGUUUUACCACGGUUGACCUCGGAUCAGGUAGGAGUUACCCGCUGAACUUAAGCAUAUCAAUAAGCGGAGGA